UUCCAGUACAAAAAAAAAAAAAAAAAAUUCACUCAGGGGCGCGAGCGCACGUCAAGUAUCAUUUACAAGAGCGCGCUGCCAGGUCACGGGGUCUUUCCUUAACUCGUAACUGAUUGGCUGAAUGUCUGAUAGAAUAUUUAAAUCAGCGCGCGGUGAUUGGACGCGAUGAGAGCAGUUAUGCAAAUGAGCACCUGGUAGUGGUCUCUAGGAGAAAGGCAAAGGACGGAAAGCCUGAGAGCGGUUGUUAGAGCUGUGGCUAUUCUGUUUAGAUUUAACCUAAGAAACUACUCGGUUAAAUAUAUUAACUUAAAUGACUCCAAGUGUGCACAGCUGUUGAAAUCUUUAGUGUUUAAAUCGUUUCCCCCCUCACACACACACACCCGUCUAAACUAAACUACAGUGAACUCACACCGCUUUUAGUCUCGCGCGCGUGUUUGUGUUUGUGAAAGCGGUAGAGUUACUGUUAAUCCUGCGGUUUAAUAAUAAUAACAAUAAUAAAAACCGUUGGAUUUUUACCUGCACAAAACUGAAGAACUCGGAUUAAAGCAAAGAAGGACCAACGGGGGAAAAUUAAGAAAAACUUUUUCAAGCGGACAUCAAAUCGGGAAAAGCUUCUCCUUGCCUGGCUUUUCGUCGAUCUGGCACCGACGACCAGAGUCGCCGAAAUCACCCCCCCCCCCCAAUUCUGACGUUUGACGUGAACGUUAACCGACGCUCUUGACCCGUGUCUGCAUGCUUUUCUGUGUCACCGCUGCAGGAUUGCCCGGUUGGAUAAUCGCACGAAUGAGCAGCUGUACGCGUGUUCCCGUGUGCGUCUAAAUCGAAGGUACGCACGUGCGAGGUCGCGGUCGCCGGAAGUCGCCGCGGUCACGCCGACUGUGCGGCAGCAUCGGUGUACAGCGCGAGUUCCGCGAAAACGGAAAAAAAACGCAUCUGAAAUGGGCAAGAAGCUGCCGAGAUCGACAGUGCUAACAGAUUCGACAAGAAUUCAGAGCUGUCUUUUUACAGAGUGAUAAAAAUCCAUCCACUCCUUUUUUUUUUUUUUUUUUUUUUUACUAAUCGAGCAGUGUAAGUGCGAGUUCUUUUGGCGCGCGGUAUCCAUGUCGUACAACGAUGAAUAAUUUGCCACAUACUUCUUUUUAAACGCUGCCCGUUUCCAUCGACGAAUAACCGGGGGCGCGUUCAUUCUCCGACCGGGUCUGACCUUCGCAAAUAUAUAUAUAGCGUUAGUAAGUGGAAGCAGCGCUAGCGACAAUAAACUACGACUAGCUAGCUUACGGGUAAAAUGAUAGGAUAAAUACCUCUGAACCAUAAAGAAGCCAGUGUUGCGGCCUUUGCGUCGUCACUUGCUCGGCGCAGAAUACUGUCGUCUUGGAGCUCUCCACAACCCCCCUCUAUAUCAGUCUGGAUUAAAGAUUUAAUCUUCUUUUUAAAACCUGAGAAAAUCAAGUACAGCAUCAGAGGCAGGGGUGACUCAUUCUGGGGAAAAUGGGCGCAAUUUAUUACCUACUUCAAUGAUGUGCGCACCCUGGUGGUGGAUCGAGGAAAAGCGGACUGUAAUUCCUGAUCAUCUUACCCCUUUUUGUUGUUGUUGUUGUUUUGGGGUUUUAUGUUUUUGUUUGUUUUUUUCUCUGGUUGUUUGUUUAUUGUUUUUUGUUUGUUUGUUUGUUUCCCCCUUUCUUUUGGUUUUGGCCGUGGUUGUUUGUUGGGGUGUCAUGUAAAAUGUAAACUUUCAAUGAAAAUUCUACGAUCAAAGAAAAACCAUGGAAUAAAAUACAGAUAUUUGUACAUCCAACCAGGAUGUUCGUCGGCGGUGCGUUUCUCCGAGAAAUCCCACCUCGAAGUAGGACCAAGCGCCAAAAGGCUUUUAUGCGCAUUCGAGCUUCAGGUACAUCGGGAAACCCGAUUUCUGGCCACGUGCCAACGUCCGUGGAGCACGGGUUCUUGGGCAAGUUGUAAGGGUCACUGUCGAGUUCGGCUGCCUUUAAUUUAAGCCGAUCGUCGUUUUCUUAGCGUCAGUGCAUACCCUCUAUAUACGAGCGGAACCAUUUGUAGCUCGAUAUUCACAGGAGGCGAUAUUUUGUCAUGGGUGAAUUGAGGACCGCGAAGGAGACACACACACACACAGCCCAUCAUGACCGACGUACUGAGAUACGUUAUUAUUACUCUUAAGGUUUCUAUAAGACCGCUUCUAUCGGAUGUGCUCAAGUAGAUAAAACAAAAAGAAAAAGAGAGCGAGAGAUUAAGUUAGUACUACUAUACGCCUUCGAGGCUGUUAGCCUGAGCUGACGAAUGCCACGUUCACGCGAAGUGGAACAUCUCCUUCAUCGGCAUUUUGGCCGCGUUGGAACGGGUUGCUAAUAAAACAAGCGCAUUUAGCUGAUCUGAUUGAAGUGGUACUGGGAGGUAGGGAUUGGGUGGCUUAGGGCUCGUAUAAAAAGUCUCUAUCACGUGUCGUGGUGCUCUCAUCAUGUUUUGCCACUUCAGUCUGAUUCCUUGGCAGUGAGCGCGCGCGUGUCUCGCUCCAAUUAGAACCCCGGCACAUAAAUACCCUCUCAUCGGCCACAGUCUGGUGGUAUUUGCUUCUCGUCUGCAUGAGCACGAGGUCGAUUCCUAACCUUCUUCCUUUUUUUCCGCUCUUCUUCACGUCGCUUCACACCGCCCUCACUCCCGCAAACCCCCGGGGCAGGAUUUUCAUCCGUGCUGGCGAACCCGAGGCCGGUUCGACGCGUCACGUCGCUGCAGUGCGAGUGCUCUGUAAAACACACACGGGCAACAAGAUACAGUGGUGACGACUCAUUAUUAUUGAUUAAGCUGAUAAACGCCGACUCUGUAUUACUCUCGAAGCGGAGACGUGUCGUGAUCAUUCAGGGGCAGUGGGGGCUUGACGGUUAAGGCGCCGGGUUAGUGAUCGGAAGCCCUAGCACUAACAAGCUGCCACUGUUGAGGCCCGUGAGCAAGGCGCUUAACCCUCUCUCCUCCAGGGGGUGCUGUAUCAUGGCUGACCCUGCACUCUGAC
ensembl:lncRNA